GUCAAGUCAACUAAGGGGAGAGAUAACAUGUGUUGUUUGGUAACUUUGAGUAAUAUUCUGAGGAGCUUUCAUAUUGCUAUAAUGUCUAAAUCCAGUCAGUGACUUCCAGACUAGUAUCCGAGUUUCCCACGGAGCUGCAGGAUUUGACCUAGAAUUGAUUGCUUUUUUGAGAAGAAGGAAAGUGUGGGCCUGAAUUACGGAAGACAAAUGAGUACAAAAAUAAUUAGAUGUGUCCGUAUGCAAAUAAAAUUUUGACAAAGGCA